CAUAAUAAUUGGAAAAGGUAUUGCACUAGGAAUAUAUUUGUGGUCAGCUAACGAGUAUUGGUAACGAGUCAUUGUAUAACAUUGUGACUCGUUAGGAGGACUCAUUAUUUAACUAGUGAAUACUAAUUAGGCAUUCUUCCACCUUAAGAGUCUCACUACGCCUCUUAAGCAGAGACAAUGUCUUGUACCUUGAGUUAUAGUAUGCCCGGGUCUUGCCACAGUGACACCUUAUUUUCUUAUUUCUCUACCCUUUUCUUAGGAAUAAUUAAUGCAUAUUGUUUCAAUAGGUAAAAUAGCUCUGAAAACUAAUUUCGCAAAAAAACUGACCUCAAUAAAGAAAACCCAAAAAAAACCUACUCUACAAUCCACUAUUUAUCUUUGAAGUGAGGACACCGAUGAGUCAAGCGGUGAACUAGAGGAAUAACCAAAAGUAGGGAAGGCAGCACCAAGAGAGAAGCAACCUUAGAGGGUGAAAGCAAUAAUGAAGGACACAUCUUCUAGGUCUAUACAAAGAAUGAAAAACCCUAGCACAUUACCACCCCAAUAACCAUCAUACUCUAAUGAGGACAGUAAAAAUGAUGAAGAAGAAAAAAAUAAUGAGGAUGCUGGUGAGGAUGAAUCAGGCUCCAAGGAAGAGAAAUAUAAAAAUAGGGUUAACGAUGAGAAUGACAAUAAUGAUAAAGACGAGUCUGCAUUUGGAAAAAGAUAGUAGUAAAGAGAGCGACAGUCCGAUCAAAGAAAUACCACCACCACGAGUACCUCCCACUUCAUGUUUCAUUGAGGCUACUUCGAUGCCCAUCGUUGAAUGGUGGGAGUACCCCGAAAUACAGGCCCUAUAUGAAAAAAACAAUUCCAUAAAUCUUACAACUGGAAAGCCCCUAAGAUGUAUUUAUCUUGAGAGGAAUUUGACAACUCCGGGCAAGUCUGAGAUGGUUACCUUUGAUGCCAGAUUCAAAUAAUACAUUUUGAAUGGAUAACUAGGGUAUCGAGUCAGUAUAGUUCAGCAUUGGUUCAUGAUUUUUACGCUGCAUAAAAGAUAGAGAUAAAAAGGCAAAACCCUCAGGGUCGGUUAUGGAAGGGUGCAGACUCAUUGUCAGAUUUAGUAAUUCGAGGUAUUUGGGUGAACAUCUCAGCUCAAAUGAUCUCUCGAGACUACGUGGGUCAGAAUUUGUACUUCUGACCACCACUGUAGAGAUAUACUUCUGAGUAGAGAAGGUGAAGAAAGUGAAGGUGAAAUAACUAGGGUCAGAGGAUAAGCUUGUUUAGUUCUAGUGGAUGGUCGGGAUCAUUGCCACCAAUCGAUAGAAAACUCUGUGGGUAGUUCAUGGUAUAAAAAAUUCAUCAUCAAUUAAAAAAAGUAGCCUAAACUUUUAGGCUAAGGUUUAUUGGUCCUUAAUACAACACAGGCUGAGUCCCAAUUUGAUAGACAAUGUUGUACGCCCAGAUAAAGUGACCCUAAUCAUAGGAAUUAUGGUUGGCUAUGAGAUUGAUGUGACCAAAUGGAUUGUUUGAAAGAUUAGAUUUAGGGUGAUGAAUAUGAAUAUAGUGAUGUCCUUCCCUUGUCUCUUGGUGUAGAUACACAUAGAUACGAGGAGUUCCAGAGCUCCCGGGGAUUGACAAGUUCUUGAGUCUAAAAAUCAUGAUAUAUUUGGGUCUAACCAGAGAAGUUGUUAAUCCGAUCUCCAGGAAAGCUAAGUUGGGCUCCACUAUGAUCCAAAGGUCUUUUGAGGUCGGUGGGCAUGGAAAUAACACUGCAGGGUUCACCGACAUAGGUGACACCCCUACUGAGAAUGGCCUGUCCAAGCCCUAGGCCUUUAAUACAGCAAAUACACCCCAAACUCAUCCUCUAUUUUCCUUUUAAGUGCCUCGACCAUCCACUUUUAGGUUGGCUCCAGUCGGCUAUGAAUUACUGUCACAGUUAUUUUUAUCAGAGGUAUAGAAAAGGUUGCAUACGGUGGAGACAAAAGUGAUACUUAUGGAGGGAGAAGUGAAACCAUGGGUUGACGUGAGGAUAAAGAAUAACUGAGGUUGAUGCAGGCGAGGUUUGAUGGGUUAGAGCAGCAUACUAGCCGGUAACUUGAGGGUAUUCAGUCCCUAGACUUAACUGGUGUAUAAGUCGAGCUAGCUACACUGUGGAAGUAAGUUGAAGAGCUACAUAAUAGGCCCAUCCUCUCGAUGCCUCUUAUUAAGAAGGUCCAAGAAGAGGAGAAAGUCAAAAAUAUUUGAGGUGUUGAAUAUUCAAACCUAAUCUGGUUAAAGGGUAAAGAAAAACAAAAAAUAAAAGAGAAGAAGAAUAGAGGAACAGAAUGUUUAGGCCACAAAAAUAGUUAGUAUUUAGAUUAAGCUAGACCACGAGGCAAGGGUCCGAGAGAUGGCGUUGGGGCCUGGUAAUUCGAGAUCUACUGAUUCUGCUGAGUUGAGCAGUAGUACAGCCCCACCGCUUGAGCCACCUUUCAGAUCACUGGCCACCACCAGUGCCACUAUUGUAGAUAAAUUCUUGACAGCUGUUAGGACCACUAAUGUUAAGAGUGGGAUCCGGUUAGAGGUCCCACGUGCUGAUCUUACUUGAUCUGGUUCCUAGGUCGCCCAGGUAUGUCUUCACCCUUUGUUUUAUAUUCUUUUUAUAUGCACUUGGUAUAGUGUAUAGGUAUUUAGUUAGGGGUAGGGUUGUACUGUAGAGCUAUAAUAUGUUAUUGUUAUCGUAUUUCUUUUCUCGCCAACUGCGGUUUAAAUGAGGAACCGGCAUGUAGUGUUGUGUUUUUAUGUUUUAUGAUGUGUUGUGUGAUGCUAAAUUGGGAGGAAACAUAGUAUCUAAGGCAAGUAAUAUUUUUAAUAUUAGUGUGCUCCCAUGGUAUCUAAGGCAAUUAAUGUUUUGUAUAUGAGUGUACUGUAAUUUGUGAAAAUGUUUGAGAAAAUGUGUGCUGUAAUUGCUGAAAAUGUUUGAGAAAAUGGUACCCCUCCUAAAAUUUUGAUAACUGUGUGAUCUGGUAUGCGUGUGACUGUGGUGAAUCUAGUAAUGGCAUUAGAAUUAGGGACAUAAUAAUUGUAACACUGUACAAUGUGUGUGAGGCAUUGCCUAGUUCUCGAUGUGUAUGGAAUCUAGAACUUGCCCGGUUGCUCUUGCCUAGGUUGUAGGAUGGUUGGUUAAGAGAUUAUCAUAGGCCAUUUUUUAAUAAGUCCACUUUAUCCCAAAUUUGCUAACUAAAUGAAAUAGAAAUCCCUCGAUCCGGAUGUUGAGCCUUAAAAGACCGAUUUUUCAUUUACACCAAUUCACAUUCAUGUUAAGCUACAGUGAACCUAUUUUGGCCCUAGUCCUCCUUGGAAACUGCGCACCUCAACUCAAGCAAAUUGCCUAAGUUGAGGGUGACUAUUAUAGAGGUGUGUACUAAAAAGUUUGUUUUAAAAAAGGGUGUAGAUAGAAAAAAUAAGUAGAGUUAGGUAUGGUAGAUAGAAUGAAAAAAAAAAGAAAAAGAAAGUAAAAAUAGAAUUGAAAAAGUAGAAAAAGAAAGAAUAAAUGAAACCAGAUUGAGCCUAAAUAAGCAGUAAAAGAAUAAAAAAGGACAAAUAAGGGCAGACUAAACAAAAAGUUGGUAAAAGAGUGGACCACAAAGAAAUCAUAGUGCCAAGAAGGCUAAGUCACUUAAAAAAUCCUCAAUUGUACAAUGCCAGCCCCAAGCCUACAUUACAAGCCUAAUAAAAGUAAACACAGGGAAACAACAUACAGGCAAGCCUAUGACAUUCUGUUUGCACUGAUUGGAACUUCUUUGUGAGUGAGAGCAUAUCUUGAUCAUCCCUAUAGGAACAUGCUGAUCUAAUUGAGUGAUAAGGACUUAUUUGAUUGUAAAGGUCCAUGGGUUGCAUUGUUAAGAUUAUUUAUAUGUCCAUGUAGUGACCCAGUUACUUAUUACUAACGUAAUUCCAUCACCUAGAUCUUGUGUGUCACACUAUUGUACCAAAAAAAUGAUCUUCGUGUUUUUGCCUGAGCACUUGCAAACUUUCUAAGUCGAGGGUGUUGAUGUGCCAUAGAAACAUGGCACAUUUGAUACUUUAAAUGGUGAAAUUAUGCACUAACUUAGGUCAUUUCAUCGGAUAUGAUGUAUGUUUUAUGUGUUUUGUAGGUAAACUAAGUUUGAAGGGGGUGUUGGACUAAAAAGGAGAAAAAAAGUGCUGAAAAAUUCAAGUACUGGUCAAGCUACGAGUCGUUAAGUCACCAUACGACUCGUAGUCAGACCCGUAAGGAUACGAGUAGCUAAAGUUGAACUAAAAAAAAAUAAGUAAGGACUGACCACAACUCGUAAAUAGUGACUACGAGUCAUGGUGUGUGACCAUAAAGAUCAUAGUAAGCAAAGUUGAAGCACAUGAAUGAUGUAAUAGAAGGCUACAGGUUCUAAGGUCAGACAAUGACUCGUAGUGAGAGGUCGUACUGUGACCAGUGUAUAAAGUUUUUAAUAUUGAUGCCUUAGUGGUAACGAGUAAAGACCACGAGUCAUAAGAACUAUCUACGACUCGUGGUGGGUAGUCAUAAGGAGAACGAAUUCAAUUGCACUAAAAAUGAAAAACUAUGGCAGUGACUAAGAUUAGCAACAUAUGACUCGUAGGGUGACACUACGAGUCGUAACAACUGAAGCCUGAAGAGAGAUACGACAACAGGAAAUGAGUCAUAACCAGACCAAACGACUCGUUGCUAGAGGCAUAACAACUGCCGACAAAGUUUUUUAAGUUUUUUUAAUUAGGUUUUCUUUGUUAUUUUAAGAUACUGUAAAUACUCUAGGGUUAUUCCUUUAUUAUAUUACGCACUUUUAGUACUUUUUUGCCAUACUUUGACUUCUUAAUACUUUGGAUAUUUUUGUUCUUGCGUUUUUAAUUUUUGUAUUCAAUUGGAGAUUUUAGAUUUUACUCUUUCACUAUUGUGCAAUCAAUUACAUCUCUUCUUUAUUGAUUUCCAUGGAUUGUUGCAUAAGCAUGAGCAUUUAGUUUCCUUUACUGGGGUUGUGGGAACCCUGGUGAAUUAACAAUGUAAGGGAAGUGGGAUAUUUAUCUAUUAUAUUUUGGUUGAGUGUAAUGUGAUUCCUUUAUAUUACUUGUACCCCAAGCUACUGCAGAAGUUUUAGGAUUUCCUGUAUUCGAGAUCAUCCUUACAAAGGAGUUCAAGAUUGGGAAAGAAGGUUACAACAAUGAUUCUAGGCUAUCAACCCUCGUAUAAUCAACUUGAAACCCAGAAGGUAAUAGUUGUAUAGGGUUAAUAAAAAGGGAUAGUAAGGUGCCACCAUCAAAAUCAAAAGGUGAAGGGUGAGAUUUAUCAACACAUUUACAAGAGGGUUGAUAAUACAUAACUUGUCAGACUUUGUAUGCAGAAUAGUGGGAUAGGUGAGUUGAACAUGAGAAUCUUAUACAGUUAGAUGCCCAAGGAACAUAGUCCUAGUGUUUUUAUUCUAUUAUUUAUAAUCUCAAGCACUCAAGCUCAGUUACUGGUUACUGUUGACUUUAAAUCCCUCCAUUUACUUUUUUGCACUACCCAUGAUUUCACCAAUUUUGAUAUAUUUCCACACAUUCCCUAUGGGUUCUACCCUAACCUGGUUUGAGUUACUAUAUUUGACAUCAACCGCAGCAUACUUCUUUGGAGGUUAGCUUUGGGCAACAUCAAUAAUCAUACUAGAGAAAAUGCAUAGGUAAAAGCACAACUUCAUAGUCGAGAAUUUGGUGAUUGGUUUAAGGAAAAAGUUUUAAAUAUUGAAGUGCCAAAUCAUUUAAGAUGGCUAGCUAUAGGGCCUAAUUUUGUGGCUAAAAGAUAUACUGCAUAUUUCGUUAAUGGAUAUCAAUUUCAUACAAUGACACAGGAUGUCUCAGUUAAGACUGAAAAUAGUGGAGUGACUUUGUCAGCAACAAUAGAUAGUUUUGCUGGUGCUAGAGACCUGAAUCCUGUUGAUGGAAUAGUUAUCUAUUAUGGAGUUAUUCAAGAUAUCAUCAACAUAGAUUUUUGGGGUUGCUGUAGUGUUGUACUAAUUAGAUGUGAUUGAUUUCAUAAUGAAGUAGAUGAAUAUGGAUUGACGCACAUAAAUUUCAAUAGAAAAUACAGUAUAGAUGACCUUUUUGUAUUAGCAUCACAAGUGCAUCAAGGGAGAUCCAAUUGAGAAAGGAAUUUAUUGUGUAAGAAAUAAAGUUCCUGUUGAUUUGUAUGAUUUGGAGGAAGAAACUUAUCCCAGUAUUAAAGAAACAUUUUGGAGGGAGCCUAAUGAUGAAAUUGGUUCAUUAAAAAAAAGUACUCGGUGUUGAUGUCAGAUGGUCAAGAGAAGAUCUCCCUGUUGACAGCAUUGAUAUGCCUUCCUAUGCACAACAUCAGAAUAUGUAAUGGAAAUAUCAAAAGAGGAGGAUGACAUUGAUGAUAUCGAUUGGGAUUGGAUGGAAGUUGAUGAUUGACAUAAAAGUUUCUUCUUAAUGGUUAGUAGUUAAUGUACUUGAUGUUCCUUAAUGUCUUUAAUGUGCUUGACUAUCUUUUCUUUUGUUUCUUUAAUGUUGUUGGUUUUCAAAAUGUCUUAAAUUAGUGGAACUUAACAAAUACACAUGCGCUAAGAGCUGUUGAACAGAUUAUGAAUUCUUUCUUUUUGGUACCUUUCUCUUCUCUUGCGAUUAAUAUUUUUGCUCAGUCUUUUUAUUUCUUCUUCAAUUCUAGUAUUUAUCUUUCUGCAUAGUCUUUUUGAGAAAUCUUUAACUUCCAAUUGCACCAAGGAAAAUUUAGGUUCCAAUCUCUCUCUCUUUCUCUAUCUCCAUCUCUCUGAUAUUUAUAAUUGAUAUUUUUUGUUGAAUAUACAUAAAGAAGAUGUGUGUCUCUAGUUGAUAAUUUUUGCUUAAUAUAUAUAAUAAAGUCAAAUGUAACACCUAAAAAAUAGUUGAUAAUUGCCACUACUCUUGUCCCUUCUCAAAUUCUAUAGUGCUUAAGCUAUGGUUUUAGUAAAUUACGGUUAUUGGUUAGGCAUGCUAAUUGGUCGUUAUUAUAUUUCUUGCGGAGGUUUAUUAUCUCAAGGGGCCUGUAGAACUUUUAGUUUCACCUUAUAUUAGCAGUUUUAUAACAUAUACUAGCUAAAAUUUCUUUUGAAAAUAACCUCUCUACCUCAUAGAUAAGGUCUGUGACACUCUACCCUUCCCAAACUCCACUUGUGGGAUCACACUCGGGUUGUUGUUGAAGCUGAAAUAUACUUUUACCCUAUGUGCCUUACUACCUUUCCAAGUUCAAAAUUUAUGUUCAUAGGUCAAUCAAUAAGCAUACAUUUUAUUCUAUAGUAGGUUCAAGUCAUUGUAGCUCUAUAUUUUUAACAAUUAGCUUUAUCAAAGAAUAUUAAUGAGAUAGCAGUAAUACGAAAAUAUGAUGAGACAAUGAGCAGAUUUAGUCAUCUGAAGCAAAAUUAUUUUCUUUUUUAGCUCAAUGUUGGAUUGCUGGCUGACUUUGUACAGCUAUUACCUCUCUAUGCUUCCAUCCUGAAACUGGGAAAGAAGAUAAUUCUUUAUAGUAAUACACUAAGAAAGCACCCUUAUUUGUAAACCUUCUCUGCUACUUACUAGAAGUUAAGUUCUAAACAAUCUCUUUUUGGUGAAGUUUGAUUAGUAAUGCUGAUAAUCUUGUUUCUGAAUUUUUUCUGUACCUUUUUGUGUUGUUCUGUUUGACCAAUGAUGUGAUUAGUAGCAAAAAAUAAUGUGUAUGGUUAUGUUUGUUUUUCUAAUGAACAUGUUUCUUAGUAUUUCUAUUGAUCGAUUUCUGUAUAUGCCUACUAAGUCUAGCAAGUAGUUUGUAUUUUUAAUCUAUUCUACUUAUUGAACUCUAAGUCAGUAGUCAGUAACUAACUUCCUGUUGUUGAAUUCUUUUUCCUUUACUCUACUAAUUGUCAGAGUGCACUGUUACAGUGGUUAUGGUGCUGAGCAAGGAGAAAAAGUAAGUAGGGACUUCUUACAUAUUUAUGUAAUUUUAUAUGAAUAAAUGAUAUUUGGCAUGAGCACUGGUAGUUUGUCUUAAGCUAUGAUGUAACGGUCGACACUGUCGCUUAAGCUAUCUAUGGUUUUAGUAAAUUGCAGCUACUGGUUAAGCAUGCUAAUUAGCCGUUAUUAUAUUUCUUGCGGAGGUUUAUUGUCUGGAUGGACCUAUAGAACUUUUACUUUCACCUUAUAUUGGCAGUAUUAUAACAUAUACCAACUGAAAUUUCGUUGGGAAACAACAUCUCUACCUCAUAGAUAAGGUCCAUGACACUCUACCCUUCUCAAACCCCACCUAUGGAAUCACACUAGGGUUGUUGUGGCUGAAAUAUACUUUUACCCUCUGUGCCUUACAACCUUUCCAGGUUCUAAACGUAUGUUCAAAGGUCAAUUAGUAUACAUAGAUUUUAUUCUGGAGUAGGUUUAAGUCAUUGUAGCUAUAUAUUUUUGACAAUUAUCUUUAUCAAAGAAUCUUAACGAGAUAGCAGUAAUGUGGAAAUAUGAUAAGACGACAAGCAGAUUUAUUUAUCUGAGGCAAAAUUAUUUGCUUUUUUAGCUCAAUGUAGGAUGGUUGGAUGAUUUUAUAAAGCCACUACCUCUAUAUGCUUCCAUACUGAAACUGGGGAAAGAAGACAAUUAUUUAUAGUAAUAUACUAAAAGAGCACCCCUAUUUGUAAACCUUCUCUGCUACUUACUAGGAGUUAAGUUCUAUACAUCUCUAUUUGGCGAAGUUAGAUUAGUAAUGUUGAUAACCUUGUAUUUGAAUUUUGUAUGUGCCUUUUUGUGUUGUUCUGUUUGACCAAUGAUGCGAUUACUAACAAAAAAUAAUGUGUAUGGUUACGUUUGUUUUUCUAAUGAACAUGUUUCUGAGUAUUUCUAUUGAUCGAUUUCAGUAUAUGCCUACAAAGUCUAGCAAGUAGUUUGUAUUUUUAAUAUAUUCUUCUUAUUGAACUCUAAGUCAAUAAUUAACUUCGUGUUCUUGAAUUCUUUUUCCUUCUCUGCUUAUUGUCAGAGUGCACUGCUUACAGUGGUUAAAGUAAGUAGGGGAUUCUUACAUAUUUAUGUAAUAUGAUAUUAUUUCUAUCACUUGCCGUCCAUUUCUUAUUUCUCUUCCUUCUUUUAAGAAUAAAUGGUAUUUUACCUGAGCACUGGUAGUUUGUCUUUCCUUUAUUUGUACUGGUUUCUUUGUUAAUUUUGUCCUUUUUUUCCUCACAUACAUUGCAAUUUUCUUUAUCGAGUGGUCUCGGUGAUAAAAAAGGGGAAGUUUCUCUUUUUGUCAUAAUGUAAAAAAGGGAUGUACAGCUGAAAUUUCUGAAGCGCUUAAAAGUAUUUCCAUAUAUUAUAUCAACAAUGAUCUAUUACUGUGUUGUAAUUAGCAUUUUAUAAAUAAUUUCUUGACUUGCCAACCAAUUUUUUAAAAAGAAGAAAUGAAAUGCUUCAUGUUUGGGUGUUGUCAAGUAUGGUUAUCUUGGACCUUAUUUAAUAUAUGAAUAAGAAUAACUCGUUGGUCACCAUAUCUUUCAUAGCAGUAAUCUGUUAGAACAAUUCUGAGAAUAGCCAUUAAUUUUUUCUGCCUGAGCAGCAACUAAGAGCCUCCAUUGCUUCUACCUCCAUGUCUCUUGUGUAACCUGUUUGCUUGUGUGAUUCAAUAUUUUUGCUUACUUUCUUUUGUCUUUCUAGAUUUUUAUCAAAUUUUACUCUUAUACUGGAUGCUAUACCUUAUAGUCAAUUUCUAGAAGCCUACUGAAUGCACUAAUUGCGAUUUCUUACUGCAAUUAAGUUGUUCUUGGUUAACUGGUUAGUUGUUCUUACAACAGUUAAGUUGUUCUUGGUUGACUGGUUAGUUGUUCUUACAAAGUUAAGUUGUUCUUGGUUGACCGGUUAAUUGUUCUUACUGCAGUCAAGUUGUUCUUGGUUGUCUAUUUAGUUAAGUCUGAAAUCUUACUGCAGUUAUUUUGUUCCAUCUUAAAUUUACACAUGUUUAGAUAAAAAUUAAUCAAAAAGGGUCUUCGAAAAAUAACAAAAGAGCAAGAAACAAGGCAUUUACUAAACCUGAAUCGUUAUCAGCCAUGACAAAUAGAAAAUGAUGAUUAUUGACAACAAAUGAAAUUGUUCAAGCUAUACGAACAGAGAAAGAGAAUCGUCUAAAAUUAAUUGAAGAACAGCAACCACCAGUAGCACCACUAUCUCAAGAAAUUGAACAAUCUGUAGUGGAGUAUCAUGUUGCAAAGGAGCAAACAUGCAGAGGAUGAGCAACAUGUAGUGGACCAAGUCCAAAUGGCUGAUUCAGCCACUCUUGUAACAACUGAACAUUUUGAAGAACAAGGCUGAAACGAAAGAAAUUAAAAUGCAACUGGAUGCAAAUGAUCAACCUGUUGAUGAAUUUUCAGCAGUCAUGGGUGUUGAAUAUCCAAGAUGUCUAUGAUUGUUUGAAGGAUGAGUUAAAAAGACUUCUUUAAAAAUAAUAAAUGACACUUCUAAAUCAACUUUAAAUGUCACCAAUGAUGUCAUGCGACAAAUGCAAGAAAGGAUGGAAAAAAUAGAGGAUCAAAUCAGUGAACAAAAUAGAAUCAUUUGAUAAGAAGUUAUUACAGAUGUAAUUGCUCAACUUUAGAUUGCAGAAUUAACUGAUUCUAAGAUACUAGCGGCAUAGUCCACUCCAUCAAGAGAAUCUACCUCUACACUAGCAUCUACAGAGAGAAACAGUCAAGGUUAUGACAUAGAAGAUGGAAACGAAAUCGAUGAACUAGACCUGACCUAAGAGAUCGAUCACAUUGGUUUCAUUCAUUUUACGCUAUUGGAAUAUUUGACCAAGUUUUAAACAUCUUUUACUUUUGAAGAUUCAAAACUUGUGUAUAUAUGAUUUACUUUUUUGAAUGAUCAAAAAAUAUUUGGUGUCUUGAUUGA